CGUUGCACUAUCGUUAACUGAAUACAUAGGUUAACGAGGCGAACCGGGGGAACUGAAACAUCUAAGUACCCCGAGGAAAAGAAAUCAACCGAGAUUCCCCCAGUAGCGGCGAGCGAACGGGGAGCAGCCCGGAGUCUGAAUCAGCUUGUGUGUUAGUGGAACGGUCUGGAAAGUCCGACGGUACAGGGUGAUAGUCCCGUACACGAAAGCACACUUGCUGUGAACUCGAAGAGUAGGGCGGGACACGUGGUAUCCUGUCUGAAUAUGGGGGGACCAUCCUCCAAGGCUAAAUACUCCUGACUGACCGAUAGUGAACCAGUACCGUGAGGGAAAGGCGAAAAGAACCCCGGCGAGGGGAGUGAAAAAGAACCUGAAACCGUGUACGUACAAGCAGUGGGAGCCUCUUUAUGGGGUGACUGCGUACCUUUUGUAUAAUGGGUCAGCGACUUAUAUUCUGUAGCAAGGUUAACCGUAUAGGGGAGCCGAAGGGAAACCGAGUCUUAACUGGGCGUUAAGUUGCAGGGUAUAGACCCGAAACCCGGUGAUCUAGCCAUGGGCAGGUUGAAGGUUGGGUAACACUAACUGGAGGACCGAACCGACUAAUGUUGAAAAAUUAGCGGAUGACCUGUGGCUGGGGGUGAAAGGCCAAUCAAACCGGGAGAUAGCUGGUUCUCCCCGAAAGCUAUUUAGGUAGCGCCUCGUGAACUCAUCUUCGGGGGUAGAGCACUGUUUCGGCUAGGGGGCCAUCCCGGCUUACCAACCCGAUGCAAACUACGAAUACCGAAGAAUGUUAUCACGGGAGACACACGGCGGGUGCUAACGUCCGUCGUGAAGAGGGAAACAACCCAGACCGCCAGCUAAGGUCCCAAAGUCAUGGUUAAGUGGGAAACGAUGUGGGAAGGCACAGACAGCCAGGAUGUUGGCUUAGAAGCAGCCAUCAUUUAAAGAAAGCGUAAUAGCUCACUGGUCGAGUCGGCCUGCGCGGAAGAUGUAACGGGGCUAAACCAUGCACCGAAGCUGCGGCAGCGACACUAUGUGUUGUUGGGUAGGGGAGCGUUCUGUAAGCCGUUGAAGGUGUGCUGUGAGGCAUGCUGGAGGUAUCAGAAGUGCGAAUGCUGACAUAAGUAACGAUAAAGCGGGUGAAAAGCCCGCUCGCCGGAAGACCAAGGGUUCCUGUCCAACGUUAAUCGGGGCAGGGUGAGUCGACCCCUAAGGCGAGGCCGAAAGGCGUAGUCGAUGGGAAACAGGUUAAUAUUCCUGUACUUGGUGUUACUGCGAAGGGGGGACGGAGAAGGCUAUGUCAGCCGGGCGACGGUUGUCCCGGUUUAAGCAUGUAGGCGGAGGUUCCAGGUAAAUCCGGUACCUUUUAACGCUGAGGUGUGAUGACGAGGCACUACGGUGCUGAAGUGAUAAAUGCCCUGCUUCCAGGAAAAGCCUCUAAGCAUCAGGUAACACGAAAUCGUACCCCAAACCGACACAGGUGGUCAGGUAGAGAAUACCAAGGCGCUUGAGAGAACUCGGGUGAAGGAACUAGGCAAAAUGGUGCCGUAACUUCGGGAGAAGGCACGCUGAUGUGUAGGUGAAGCCCCUGCGGGCGGAGCUGAAAUCAGUCGAAGAUACCAGCUGGCUGCAACUGUUUAUUAAAAACACAGCACUGUGCAAACACGAAAGUGGACGUAUACGGUGUGACGCCUGCCCGGUGCCGGAAGGUUAAUUGAUGGGGUUAGCGGCAACGCGAAGCUCUUGAUCGAAGCCCCGGUAAACGGCGGCCGUAACUAUAACGGUCCUAAGGUAGCGAAAUUCCUUGUCGGGUAAGUUCCGACCUGCACGAAUGGCGUAAUGAUGGCCAGGCUGUCUCCACCCGAGACUCAGUGAAAUUGAACUCGCUGUGAAGAUGCAGUGUACCCGCGGCAAGACGGAAAGACCCCGUGAACCUUUACUAUAGCUUGACACUGAACACUGGUCCUUGAUGUGUAGGAUAGGUGGGAGGCUUUGAAGCGUGGACGCCAGUCUGCGUGGAGCCAACCUUGAAAUACCACCCUUUAAUGGCUGGUGUUCUAACGUAGACCCGUAAUCCGGGUUGCGGACAGUGUCUGGUGGGUAGUUUGACUGGGGCGGUCUCCUCCCAAAGAGUAACGGAGGAGCACGAAGGUUGGCUAAUCCUGGUCGGACAUCAGGAGGUUAGUGCAAUGGCAUAAGCCAGCUUGACUGCGAGCGUGACGGCGCGAGCAGGUGCGAAAGCAGGUCAUAGUGAUCCGGUGGUUCUGAAUGGAAGGGCCAUCGCUCAACGGAUAAAAGGUACUCCGGGGAUAACAGGCUGAUACCGCCCAAGAGUUCAUAUCGACGGCGGUGUUUGGCACCUCGAUGUCGGCUCAUCACAUCCUGGGGCUGAAGUAGGUCCCAAGGGUAUGGCUGUUCGCCAUUUAAAGUGGUACGCGAGCUGGGUUUAGAACGUCGUGAGACAGUUCGGUCCCUAUCUGCCGUGGGCGCUGGAGAAUUGAGGGGGGCUGCUCCUAGUACGAGAGGACCGGAGUGGACGCAUCACUGGUGUUCGGGUUGUCAUGCCAAUGGCACUGCCCGGUAGCUAAAUGCGGAAGAGAUAAGUGCUGAAAGCAUCUAAGCACGAAACUUGCCCCGAGAUGAGUUCUCCCUGAGACUUUAAGUCUCCUGAAGGAACGUUGAAGACGACGACGUUGAUAGGUCGGGUGUGUAAGCGCAGCGAUGCGUUGAGCUAACCGAUACUAAUGAACCGUGAGGCUUAACCUU
rnacentral:rRNA from 2 species